rnacentral:rRNA from 1 species
UAGGGAAUAUUUGGACAAUGGGUGAGAGCCUGAUCCAGCCAUGCCGCGUGCAGGAAGAAGGCGUUAUGCGUUUGUAAACUGCUUUUUGCCAGGGGAUAAAAAGACCGUGCGCGGUUAAUUGAAGGUACCUGGUGAAUAAGCCACGGCUAACUACGUGCCAGCAGCCGCGGUAAUACGUAGGUGGCAAGCGUUGUCCGGAUUUAUUGGGUUUAAAGGGUGCGUAGGUGGCCCUGUAAGUCAGUGGUGAAAUAUCUCAGCUUAACUGAGAGGGUGCCAUUGAUACUGCAGGGCUUGAGUACAGAUGAGGUAGGCGGGAAUUGACGGUGUAGCGGUGAAAUGCAUAGAUAUCGUCAAGAAUACCGAUAGCGAAGGCAGCUUACCAAGCUGUAACUGACACUGAGGCACGAAAGUGUGGGGAU